AUUGAACGCUGGCGGCAUGCCUUACACAUGCAAGUCGAACGGUAACAGGUCUUCGGAUGCUGACGAGUGGCGAACGGGUGAGUAAUACAUCGGAACGUGCCUAGUAGUGGGGGAUAACUACUCGAAAGAGUAGCUAAUACCGCAUGAGAUCUACGGAUGAAGGCAGGGGAUCGCAAGACCUUGUGCUACUAGAGCGGCCGAUGGCAGAAUAGGUAGUUGGAGGGAUAAAAGCUUACCAAGCCGACGAUCUGUAGCUGGUCUGAGAGGACGAUCAGCCACACUGGGACUGAGACACGGGCCAGACUCCUACGGGAGGCAGCAGUGGGGAAUUUUGGACAAUGGGCGCAAGCCUGAUCCAGCAAUGCCGCGUGCAGGAUGAAGGCCUUCGGGUUGUAAACUGCUUUUGUACGGAACGAAAAGCCCUGGGUUAAUACCCUGGGGUCAUGACGGUACCGUAAGAAUAAGCACCGGCUAACUACGUGCCAGCCGCCGCCGUAA
rnacentral:rRNA from 1 species